UACGUAGGGGGCGAGCGUUGUCCGGAUUUAUUGGGCGUAAAGAGCGUGUAGGCGGCUUGGUAGGUCCGCUGUGAAAACUCGAGGCUCAACCUCGAGAUGUCGGCGGAAACCACUUGGCUAGAGUCCGGAAGAGGAGAGUGGAAUUCCCGGUGUAGCGGUGAAAUGCGCAGAUAUCGGGAGGAAUACCGAUGGCGAAGGCAGGUCUCUGGGCUGACACUGACGCUCAUGCACGAAAGCGUGGGGAGCAAACAGG
rnacentral:rRNA from 1 species